CCUACGGGGGGCAGCAGUGGGGAAUAUUGGACAAUGGGGGGAACCCUGAUCCAGCCAUGCCGCGUGUGUGAAGAAGGCCCUCGGGUUGUAAAGCACUUUCAGUGAGGAAGAACGCCUGGUGGUUAAUACCCAUCAGGAAAGACAUCACUCACAGAAGAAGCACCGGCUAACUCCGUGCCAGCAGCCGCGGUAAUACGGAGGGUGCGAGCGUUAAUCGGAAUUACUUGGCGUAAAGCGCGCGUAGGUGGCUUGAUAAGCCGGUUGUGAAAGCCCCGGGCUCAACCUGGGAACGGCAUCCGGAACUGUCAAGCUAGAGUGCAGGAGAGGAAGGUAGAAUUCCCGGUGUAGCGGUGAAAUGCGUAGAGAUCGGGAGGAAUACCAGUGGCGAAGGCGGCCUUCUGGACUGACACUGACACUGAGGUGCGAAAGCGUGGGUAGCAAACAGGAUUAGAUACCCCUGUAGUC
rnacentral:rRNA from 1 species